UAUUUCCAGUAUAUGCUAAUUUAUUAGUGGAAGUGAUAGCAUGUAAAUUAAUAUUUAUUCAAUUACAAGAAAGGUAUUAUUGAAUGUUUUAAAAGUGAAAUUUACUCCAUUUCUUUUUAGUGAGGAAACUGAGCAUCAAAUAAAUUAAUCAAUGCCACAACACUAAGAGCGCACUAAAGGCCGACAACAAUUUUCCAAUUCCAUUACCUUUGUACUUACCCUAUGUAGUAUAUAUUUAGUUUUUUAUUUUGUGGUUUUUUGGAAACACUAUACUUUUCUUCAUAUUUAGUUAACAUACAAUUAUUAUUAUGUGUAUCUCACAAUCACAGUCUGAAUUGGAAAAGCUAAACAGUGUGUGUUUUUUCCUAAAAUUUUACCUCACUGGAUAUUUAAGGAUUUGUUAUAUGUUUUUAUAACAAUUUUACUUCAAUUCAUAUAUAGAAUUCACUAAAUUGAAAUGCAUAAUCCAGCAGCUUUCACAGUGGUCACAGGACUAUUUUCAGCUUUCAUGACUAGAAAUUGUGUGCCUCUACCACUGAGUUCAAGAUCUGGUACUUUGUUCUGUUUUUUCUAACGUAAUUUGGUACAAAGCAGAUACUAAAUAAGGAAUUCUUAAGUGAUCAAACAACACAUUCUCCAAUGCAUGACUCCCCUGAGAACCUGAGAUAUAAGAUAACAUCCUCUGCUCUCCAGAACACUACAGGAUCCUUGGAGGGUUAAGAUUCACAGGAAAGUAACUUCUGGAUGAUGGAUGUUGGAUGAGGAGACCUGCCAAGGAUUGUUACUGCAUAUCCCAUGGGAAGGUCAGACUGCCUUGCUCUGUGAGGUCAUCCAGGAUAACUCCUGAGAGACAGAGGUUGCGUCUUAGCUCCAUGGUGGCCCAGCUUUUCCUUUUUGUGGGACGACUGAGAUGCAACUACUUUUGCCCACCCCGAGAAUCUUCAGUAAUCUUUCCCAAGCUGCUUGGUUUAGUAACUGAGAAAGCUGUAUUUGUUGCUUUAUUCUUCUUGUGUUCUAAGAUCCAAGCUCCAAGAUAUUAACCACAAGAAGAAAACAUUCAAAGACAACUGAGAGUAUAUCAGCUGCUAUCACUUUUCCUGCAGGGCUCUGCUGCUGAGUCCAGAGAAGGUCAUUUUUCACACAGCUGGCAGCCUAGCCUCGCUUCUUUCUCUGAAGCCUUACUAUGAGUCCAUUCACUGAGUUGCCACUUGCAUAUCAUCAUCAUAAUGUUUGCUUCUAUCACAUGUGUGAAUAUGCCUUAUCCAAGAAGCUCCUUGAUAGCAAAAAUGUCAUGUUUCAAGUUUUCUUUGAAUACUUCACUUCUGGAAGGACUGCUUGAGUGUGUACAUAGUAUUUAUUCAUACUAAUAAUCUCGAGUAAAGGAUAUAUUAUGUUUAUAAACUUUUCAAAAUAGGAAGCAGUGGUUCCAGAAGUAUGUGGGUUUUUGAUACUUCUUAUUGUGGUUAUCUGAAAUCUUGCUGUGAAAUAACAGAUCUCUAGUGGACUAAAAGUGAUUUGAAGUAUUAAUUAAAAUGCUAAUUCCUUGAUUGUAUCCUAACUCCUUAAGGCUGGGGACUGAAUUACAAAACUGAGUUUAGGAUUUAGGAGUUGAAAUUUAAAACAACAACAAAAACAACCACAACAAUAGAAAGCUCUACAGUACCUGUGAUUCACAUCAAUGUACAAGUUUUGAAAGGCAAGAUCCUAGACAGUCAAGAUUUAAAGAAAUAGUAAUUAUUUAACCAUGAUUGGGAGCUGGUGAAUGUGGGUUAGUUUGGACUUAAUUACAUAGAAAAGAAAUAUCUAUAGAACCAAGUAUUAUAGGAUAGUACCGCAAUUCUGGAAGAUUGUUACUUGGAGUAUUAUUUAGAUUUUGUGUCUAUGAAUUUUCGUAACUCAGAUAAUGGAUAUCUCAAGAAGUUAUUAACAUUAACAAAUGUUAAAUGUAUAUUGAUGUUUGCCUGCUUGAAUCAUAUUUUUAAAAUCAUCCCUUGAAAAGUAUGAUGAGAAAAGAUAUCUCCGGGAUGAGCUUAUUUUUCAUAAUGGGUUGAGAGAAUCUAGUUCUCUUUAAAAAUUUUAAGUGUUACGUAUUAUUGCUACAUGCGACCCCUGAACUUCCUGUUGAGGAUGGUAUAAAAAAUUCAUACUGUACAGUAUUUAACAAAAGGGGUCAGGACCUGUGUUAAUGCUUCAUGUAUUCAGAUAACUAACAAAUAAAAAUAUCAAUCAUAGCUCUUAUUAGGUGAUGAAGAUUUAAAGGAUAUUUCUUUUGAGCUACAAAAUUUAGCUCCAAAAUUUAUCUACUUGUCACAAACACCCUUUAGUUGUGAUUACCUUCUUAUUAAUAAGAAAACUAGUUCAGAUACUAUAUUGUUUGCUUGAAGCAGACCCUGUUUGUGAUCUCAGCAGCCUGAUCUUAGGAAAUCUCUCCUCUUAAUUACAAAGUUAUGCUGAUGGCCAAAUAGGCAUGGCUAUGUCCUCUUGCAUCUUUCUAUACAAAGCAGGAUGCAGUGUAUUUUAGAAUACUUCUUUUCCUCUCCAUAUAGUUCCAUUUUGCUUUGUGUUUCACAGGAAUAGUUUCCACAGGAAUUGGUCCUCACGAUCACUGGUUCCUUGUGCAGCCUUCAAGCCUUCAUUCUACCCUGUGUUCACCAAAAAUGUCCAGUGUAACUUUAACCUUCCAGAUCAGUGCUGUCUACUGAAACUUUCUGUGAUGGUGGAAAAGCUUUAUAAAUCUGCUUUGUCCAGAACAAGAGCUACAUGUGGCAAGUGGGUACUUCUGUAGGUUAGGUAUGUCUGAGAGACUGAGAUUUUACUGUAAUUAACUAAUUCAUGUCUAACUUAAAUAGCUACAGUUCCAAGUGCCGCUCCAGCUCCAGAUCAUCUUCUCUUCAUUUUUCUCCCCUGCUCACUGCUAUGGGACACAACUUACUAAGGUUUAGCCAUUUGACAUUAUGGAUGUAGCAUCAGUACAGGUCUUCCUAGGUGACCCUCAGAGCUUUCCUUUGGGGAAAAAGUAUUUGACUCAGAAUAUUUAAAUAAAAGCUCACAAAGGCCCAUGACUCCUCUAAAGACAAGGGUAGUAUUGUAAUAAUUUUAUUAUUAAAUUGUCAAGCUUUUAUUAUUAAGUUGGUAAACAUUCUCCAUGAAAGGUUAGUAAAUAUUUUCUAGGUCACUUGGUCUCAGUUGCCACUACUCAACUAUGUUGCAGGUGUGUGAAAGCAGCAGUCAGCAAUAGGUGAGUGAAGGGGCAUUCUUGUGCUCUCAUAAAACUAUUUACAAAAACUAGUGUCACCCUGGUUUGACUCUAGGGUCAUAGCUUGCUGAUAUAUAAUUAGAAACAUAAUUCUGUCUUAUGUAUGAAUGUUUUAUCAUUUAAUUAUGUACAUGCUCCUAGACAUUCAGGAGUGGAUGGAGAGUCAGAAAAUGUUUGUCCUUUCAUUUUUGUGUAGAGGAGUUAAUAACAAAAGAUUAAAUAUUGAGAUAUUAACCUGUAAAUCAUGAACAGUAUGAUUUUAGAUUCUGAACACAAUAAAAUGAGGAGUUAGGAGUAGGAUUGAGAGGGAGGGGCUACUUAAAGCAGAGGAGUGGAAAGUCUUGUCUGCUGGUGAGCCAUGAACUGAGCACUCAGUGCUGGGGAGGACCAGUCCAGUGAAAGACAGUGGGCAGAGGACUUCAGACAGAGGGAAACAAGAAUGACAGUUCAGGCAGAAACAAAUUUCCAUGUGCGAUGAUGUUAAAAAUAAUCAGAAAGCCUGUGGGGGUUAUGUGUCAUAAUGAAUCAGAAACAUGUCUGAAGCCUGAUUCACAAGGUUCUCUUAGUGCAGUGAGAAACCUUGGUGAGAUUUAAGAAAGAGAAGCAGGACGACAAGAAGGAAACUAGGAAAUGACUUUGAAAAUGUAAAAGUUGCUUUGCUGCAAGGUCAUGUUGGUGUUUCCAUACCUCUGCACAUCCUCCAGCCCCAAAGACCCUCUAAAAAAAAAAAAAAACCAAGCCAGAAUGUUUCCAUUCAUUUUAGCUCCUGGACAUUGAUUUCCAGAGUCAUUCAUGGAGUCUUUGAACAAGGCAAGCACUAUAAAGGUUUUUUUUUUUUUUUUUUUUUUUUUUUUUUUUUUGCUACCAGAAGUCGGCCCAUGACCUUUCUAGGCAGGUGCAGGUGCUGUACUGCUGAGCUGUACCCCAGCCCCAGUGAAGCAUUUCUUUAUUGGCACUAUAGUUCACACCUAUCAUGCUAUUUCUUUACUCUUACCUCUCAAAUGUCAAUUUUAGGAUCUCCUAGGAACUAUUUCAGAUCUCUGCGCUCUGUGAAAGUGCUUGGAAGGUUUUAUUAUUCAUAAACCUGCUACUUUUCUAUCUGAAACCAAUUAAGAAUAUCUGUAGACAAUUUAAGGUCUUUGCCUUUGAGUUUAAUGACUUUUUCUUUCAGUUGAGAUUUAACUUUGUUUAAAAAUGUGUAAAUAUCUUUGAAGUAGAUUUGUGCAUCAUAGGGCCUAAAAUCUAGUUAAAUGGAACUUGCUGAUUUGAUUUGGAAGAGUAAUUAAGGUCAUGAUAUUGUUUAACUAUUUGUUCAACUUUGUCUAGUUCAAUGGAAUGCAAAUAUUUGACCUUCUUGACAAAGAUGGAUGGAUUGAAGCUACACACCAUGAUAUCAUUAGGUUGUUGAAUAACAUCAUUAUUCAUGAUUAUAAGGAAUUAUUCAGGUGAAAUAGUAAACCUAAUAGGAAGCUAUUAUUUGUACUGAGAGUGUAAUUUCACUGUCCUUGUCAUUCCAGCCCUUUGGUUGAAUUGAAGAUAAGAUAUGUGUAUUUAUUUUGCUACAGAGAAUCUUUCAUAGCAUAAUUUAAACAAAUGGAACCGAUUAUAAUUAGUAAUUUAGUAAGUAAGAUCAUAUAACACUCUUCCAGAAAGAAGUUUAGUAUGUUAUAAAUCUAAAAAGGAACAUUUUCAUCAUUUACUGAGUUUUUCAUUUGUGUGAAUUUAUUUUAAAUUGUAUAAAAUUUCUGUGCUGAUUAAAACAUAUGCAAAAUUACAGUCGCAGAAAAAGAUUUGAGAAUAUGCUUUAAAUUUAAGAUAGUACUUAAAACAAUAUAAUUUUUGCAGAUCCUUCAGAUAUUUACAAAUUGUGGUCUGGAGCCAAAUGGCGCUCCUGUCUGUUUUUGUAACUAAAAUUUUAUCACAACUUGGCCACACUCACUGUUUUAUGUAUUGUUUGUGGCUGUUUCCCCAUUACCUUGACAGAACUGAGUAAUUGUUAGACCACAGGGUCCGCAAAUCCUAAAAUGUUUAAUAUCUGGUCCUUCGCAGAAAAACUGUGUCAGACUCUAGGCCUAAGGAAUUUCUGUAAAUGAAAAUAGAAACUCUUGCACUAGUUGAUCUCAAGCAGUUUGAAGAAACUCCCAAAAUUCACAAGGCUGGGGGAAAUUCACAUCAGAAUUCAUCUAGUUAAGCAAGUGUAGUGGUGUGUGUGGGGCUGAUCUACUCUGUUACCAUCAGCUUCUUCAGAAAACUGCCAGACAUUAUUACUGUGUGCUGUAAAAGGAGGAACAAAAGAAAUUAACUUUAUCUAUGGUGGUUUGAGAAUGUUCUUGCCUGAAAGGUGGUGAUGGAAUAAAAUCUGUGAUGAGUGAUAAAUUCAGGGUUUCUUCACAUGGCCUUCCUUUUGUAACUCUAUAUAGAACUGACAGCUGAAAAAAUGCAAAUAAGAUUUGAUGAUGAGUUUCAGAGUUUAGUUUUUACAAAAAUACUUUUCCAGAAACAUGCCAACAAAAGAAUUAUGUAACCUCCAUCAGAUUUAUAAAAUAGCUGUUUAUUUGUAGAACAAUUAUUAGAUAUUUUAAACAUGUAAAAUGUGCAGGAAAUAAUAUAACAAACACCAUAAAAUUUGACAUAAUUCUAUGUGGCAUAAUUCCAUAUUUCCAUUAUGCUUAAGACCAUCUUUUUAAAAGAAAAAAUUAUAGAUCAUCACCAACUGGAAUCUUUUAUUUUUUCAAUCCUGGGGUUCUAGACACAGGACACCUUGCACAUACUAUGCCACUGGAUUACAUCUCCAGUCUCUAAAUUGCUCUUGCUGACCUGAAACUUUUAAUCUUCUGCUUCAGACACAAGUGUACUUGGUUUACAGAUGGGUGCCACUAUGCCCUGUGUUGUUCAGCUGGCAUUUGUUUUCUUUGCUCCUUUUUAGAGCUAGAUUUCUUGAGCUGAGUACCACUGACAUUGGUGCCAGCUACUGGUUCUUGUGGGGGCAGUCCUAUACUGUAUGGUGGUUAGUAGCUACUCUAGCCUGCACUUAAUAGAUGCAAAUUCUAUGCCUUCUCUUUCUGACGUUGGAAUGAUUCCUAUCUGCAUAGGUAGGUAUGCUUACAUGUAUUAGUGUCCCUAAGAAACACAUAGCGAUAUUUACUUAAUGUCUGUUCAAUGUUUACUUAUCCUAUAAACAUAAUUAAUCACUCAGCAUUAUUUUAGAGGUAUAACUACAAUGAAAGUUGAAGAUCAAAUGCUUGCUUUGUUAGCCUCUGUAUUGUAUUCCAGUCUCUGAGUAUAUAAUGAAUUAGUUAAUUGUUGGUUUCUUUUGGUUGUUUCAUGAUUUUUCUUUAUUAAACUUAUAUACGUUAUCCUGCUGUCUCUGUGGAAUAUUGACCUAACAAUGGAAUCUCCAUAUUGGAAAGUAAGCAUCUCAUCAACUCUGAAGAGCUUUCAGAAUCUGUAUUAAAACUUCUCAGCAAUGGAUGAGAAUUCCCGUUUCCACGUCCUCAUCAAACAGCUACCUCAGCAAAUGAAAAAUGUUCACUACUCUAGUGGUCAUUUUGACUCCGGACUACCAGAAGUCUAACAGCACCUGACCCAGUGAAUAAAGUAGAUGAGGACACACUGUGAUGUUUUUACAAGCCUGCUUUUAAUUGGAUGCGACUCGGUAGCAGAGAAGUAUUUUUUGAUCACACAUCAUAGAGACAUGAUAGAGAAUUUCUAAAACGGCUUCAGAACAUGACAAGAAUGAUUGCCAUAGCAUGAGAGACUUUGUUCCACCAAGCACAUGCUGCCAUGAUGAACUGCUGUGCUUCAAGCCCAAAGAAACAGGACCAGGAGGGCAUGGACUGAAAUCUCUGAAAGCCUGAGUCAAAAUAAACCUUUUUACAUUUGUAAAUUGACUUAUCUCAAAUAUUUGUUAUAGUAAUGGAAAGUUGACCAGUACAAUGGUGAUUGUAGUGGACUUACAGUCCGGCCUAUUUUUGCAUCUUAAGGAGUACUUACAAUCUAAUUGCUUAGCUUUUUACUAUAUAUCCAAAUUUUUAUAACUCCCAAGGUCAAAUAUAGAUUUAUGCCAAACUUUCUAGUGCUCAAUUAUGCAAAACACUCAAUUGUCAGUAUGUUAAAUGCUGAACAUCUACAUUCCCAUAUAAUGCUAUAAUAAUUCAGCUUUCUUAAGUGUUGAAUAUUUCCUUAAUAUACAUCCGAUGGUAGAGUUUAGUUCUAGCCAAGAAUCUAUUAGCAAAAUUGAAAACAAUAGCUUUUAAAAUAAUAUGUCAAUCACUGAAUGGAAAUAAGUAAAACAGAGACCAUGACACGUUAAUUUCCAGGAAUAUUUAUGUCCAUUGGGUCAACAUUCCUAUUUUUGGAGGAUAAUAUCUUUGAGCAAAAUAGUUUUGUGUGUAAAAGAUUAGAAAGUUCUUUAUUGUAAAGGGAAUAGAAGGGAAGUUUCAAACUAACUGAACAUGUUAUGCAACUUUAAAGAAAGAGUUUUGUAUUUUAAUAUAGACAUUAAAGCAAAUAUUACUAUAUUGGAACAUUUAGUUCUGUUUCUGUUGUAAUAAAUUUUAAGAAAAUCAAUAAUAACAUAAAGAUAAAAUUGGUAACCUAGAUCAAAUAUUUUAGUUCUCAUGUAAAGGCUUUCUUAUCUUGAAUAGCUGAUGUUAUAAAAUGAAAUUCAUUUAAAACAUGGCUAAAGAUGAUUAAAAUAUCAUACAGACCCAAAGUACUCUAGCUGUAGAUGUUCAUUAAAUUGACCAUUAAUAACUUGUGAUAAAAAAGAAUAUUAUUACAUUCAUAAAUUUUGUAUGCAGAUUUUAUUAAGCUGGCAUGUUAUAUGAAUUGAUUGUCUGACAUCUUCUGGCUGUGACUGAAGAUAAUAGUGUUUCAUAUGCAUUUUCAAUAGUGCAAGAAUUCUGACUGACUAUUUCUAGUUAUUAUGUUUUUAUUCAGGUUGGCAGUUUUUCCUCCUAGUAUGCAAUUAUAAUAUAUAAUUAUAGCGUUAGCAUGAAACAUUAUGAGGUUGAUGGUGUCAGCAUUUGUAUUAUAAUCUUGCUUUUUGUAAGGGUUCCUAGUUUGUGUGUGUUGACAUGAUCACACAUGUGUGUAUAUUGAGAGAGAGGGAGAGAGAGAUAUAGGGAGAGAGAGAGAAAAGAGAAGAGAAACUCUUUCAGCUUGGUUGACUAUUUUGCCUUAUUAAUGAAUUAUUUCCAAUUAGUUGUGGAAAUGUAACUGGACUAGUUUGCUAUGGCUUAAUUUUAAAAUCACAUUUUAGUUGACUGUUGUUUGCUUUUCUAAUUUGAGUUGAGUUUGUAAGUUUUACAACCUGUUUCUAGUGAACCGUAGUGCCAUUUGGUUUUGUAGACUUACUGUUAAUCUAGCAGAUUGCUUUCUACUUAGUCAUCAGCAGGGAUCACAAAGGUGGAGGUUGCAUACUUUUCAGGAAGGAUAUUUAGUUUAUUGCUUCUUAAUAUAUCAAAAUUCUUUCCUUUGUAAUUCUUUUGUAAAUCUUUUGUUUCCAGAAACAGAAAAUGUAGAACAAAGGUCAAAGCCUGGGCCAGAUUACCUUGUGUAGAAAAUCAGUUCUGCUGCUUGAAUCUUUGUUAUAUGUUGCUAUAGAAGAACAUCUGAGACUGGGUAGUGAAUAUAGGAAAGAGGUUUAUUGUGGCUCAUUGUUCCAGGUUGCUGGGAAGUCUAAGACCAGACAGCUACUUAUGGGAAGGGACUUAUGUUACUUCAAUUCCUGAUAGAGAGAGAGGAAGAGCAAACAGGAACAUCUAUAAAAGACAAAACAUGGGGGUUGACCUCACUUUAUAUCAUAGUGGUCCCUGGAGAACGCUCUUGCAGGCUCUCACCUAAUCACUUGUUCAAGGCCUACCUACCUCUAAAUAUUGUGGAUCCGAUCUCAUCAAGGUUUUGUGGGAGAAAACUACACUCAUGCCAUAACACUACGCUAGUUAUUCAACAUCUUCAUACAUGUGUACUCACUUAUGAAACAGUGAGGAUUUAUUAAAUUUAUGCGAGAGGUUUUGAACAAAAUAUGUGUUCAAUAUUUACUGUUAUUAAUACUUGAUUUAUUAAUACUUGGAUUAGUAGGAGAGAGAAGACAAGAAACUUUAAUUACAUUUUUCUUUGUAUUAAUCAAGCAAGACAUAGUAAUAAAAUUGCUUCCUGAAUCUUUGAUGCUGGUUUAUCUGCGGAAUUCCCCCCAUUAGCAAUUUGUUGAGUGAGAGCAAAAGGUUUUGCAGAGAUACCCAGGCCUGAGUAUAUAAUUUUGGCCUCAGGGAAAAUAAACUUAGAAUUUCUUGGUUCCCACUUUUGUAAUAGGGGGAUAAUUAUAGUUAACUGUAUAAUGAGUUGUUAGAAAUACAUGCUAAUUUAAAAUAAAAUGUAAUGGCUUGCAGGCAAUAUUAGGAUAGUAGUUAAUUGCUUGUUUGUGACAGCAAUAAAACAUUUCGUUAUAUGUCUUUACUUAAAGCAGUAAUGAUGCCUAAUGCAACAUUUUGUUUCCUUUCAAUACUAGAUAUCAGAACAUUUCAUUGAUCAUAUUGGCUUUUUGUUGUUGUCGUUCUUGGCUCCAUAAACACAGAGCCAAAAAAACAACUCAAAGAACAUGGAUAUUGAUCAUUUUAGACUGAAAUUAGCUAAUUGCUGGUAGAAUAGUGUUCUUUUGUGUUUGUUUCAUAGACAGAUUUAGAACUUGACCUUGCCACAGCACUUUGUAAUCAUUUCCCAUUUCCAUCAAAAGUAAACAACUGUGAAAGUUGGGAGGUUGAUUCCUGCCUCUUAUUUAUGCUUGAAGAACACAGAGGUCUAUUACACUUAUUACUCUGAAUAAUAAAAUUGCCAAGCAGAUGACUGGUUUUGAGUCUCAAGCUGUGUAUCUGGGAGAUUCAAAUAGAAGGACUUCCUCCUGCUUUCUGGCCAUCUGUGAGUGUAGACACCUUUUUGUUAUGAAACUAGGCUCAGGUCCUCCUGCCAAAAGUUAAAAAAAAAAAAAAAGAAAGAAAAGAAAAAAAAUGAGAAUGCACCUAAUGAAAAUUAGGUUAUGGAGCCUCAAAAAUUAGCAUAUUGACUAUUUUAUAAGAAUACUUUAAAAGGCUGUUAUAGUAAUUCAGAUGUACACAGAAUCUUUAAGCUGUUCCAGUGGAUAUCUUAGUAGGAGUAUGGUAGAAGCAGAUGUGAGUAAUUAGAGAGGUGGGCACAGGUAGGUCUAGUUACUAUGCCUAUAUGCAGGGGUGGUAAGUGCGCCACACUAUCUGGGCCAGGUGCAGGUAAACUACAUUUAGGAAACUCCAGUUGUAUCUCCCUUGUAGUAUCCUUGUUUAACUGAAUGUGUUUUUCAAAAUCCCAACACUGAUAAAGGGAGAAAGAUGUGUGUUCUGUUAAACUGAACUGUGGUGGAAGCCAGUGAUUGUUUUCCCACAUAUGAAGAUUAUCUUUAUGUUGUCUAAUGAAAUUGUAUGUGAGUUUCUGUGACUUGUAAAGAUGAUUUGUACUCGUGUGACUUAUAACUUGAGCUUCGUUUCUUUAAGGAAAGAAAUAAAAUGAAAGGUACUUUUAUGUUAAAACUCUUGUCUUUUGUUAUGGGAGGUAACAAUGAUAUUUGUCUAAAGAUGAUUAUGAUUCAUUUUUUUCCAAGCCCAAGGUCCUGAGUUUAAUUCCUGGUACCCCUGAAAAUCAUUUUUUUUUUUUUUUUGGUAACAAGCAUUAUCUAUUCUAUAUGGUUAAAAAUGUUCAUUUUCUGAUAUGCCUUGCAUUGUUCAUGUGCUUACUUAGAAUACUAAUCCUUUUACUAUCAUCUUCAUCCACCUGCUUGGGAGGGCCCAAAGAAUAUUUUUGUGGGUGAGGUCACCAGCUUAAAGAACGCACAUGUGCAAGAUAUCAACAACAGCAGCAGGCAAAAUGGAACAGAGUCAUCUGUAUUUUUCUUGUAUAUUUUUUAUACAGGUUGUUAUCACUUAUUUACAUUCUUACAUGCUGGCUGCAUUGUGCACUGAUAAUUCAUGGUUAUAUAAUUAUGCCCUGAUGUGCACCUGCACUGACAAUGAUAUCAUGUCCUCAGGGCUGUCUGGACUCAUCCUUACCUGCCCUGAGCUUUGACUCUGUCUGGGUGGUUCCCCACAGUCUUGUUCCAUCCUUGACACAUCAUGAAUGUCCUUUCUUCAUGUAGCAGAAAGUUUCUAAUAUAGUAAGCCCCCAAUGUCUGAGUCAGUUCUGUCCUGCAAAAACAUUCUCAGAUUGAAUUUGUUCAUAAUCUAACAAAAUGAGUAUUAUAUAGUACAGUUGUGAAUCUUAUAUGGUAUACCCAUCACAGUUCACAACUCUACCAUCCAAAAGUCAGGAAAUUACUAUAUAUGAAUUAAAAGAGAAGAGAGACUACCAAAGGUGAAAUAGAUUUUAUUCAUUUACAGUCAUUUAAGUGAUUGAGGAAAAUCUCCAUAGAUCCAUGUUUUAUAUAAAAUGUUGGCAUCAAGCCUUGAUUUUACUUCUAGCUAUUAGACACCUGGUUUUGUGUUAGAUCUUUGGACUUGAUGAACUUGCCCGUCAGAGUUAAAUAUUAUUAGUUAUUCAGAAUCCACAAAAAAUGAUCAUCUAUAGUACAGUAAAACUCUUAUUAGAGAAACUAAAUAUUAAAAACUUUCUUUCUAGAAACUGCAGUGACCCACAGCUAAUGGAGUCCUGAGGAGAGGCAAAGGGAGAUAAUAAAAGGAAAGCUGGGGCCUGGUGAGCCCUGACCUUUCUGGUGGAGAGGCAGUGAGAACCUAGCAUGGUCUGUGUCUUUAUUUAUUCACAGUAAACAGGAGGAAGCACGUGACAGAGCCAAAAGUGCAAGAUCCCAGUGUUUUUCUGAGAUGCUGGAAAGAAACAUUCUCUGAUCUAUCUGUGCUGUAGUUAACAGGGAGUAACACCAAGACAGGACACCUGCAGGACUGGUUUUGCUCUAGUCCCAACAAUUUGUUCACAUGGCUCGCCUCUGGCACUCUGUGUUCUUGAGGCUGGCCUUGCUGUAGCUCCAAAUAUGUGGCUGAUCUCUGGCUCAAUCAUUCCCCACCAGUAAAUACAUAUUAGCUCAUACAUUUUUAACAAAACUGUUUAAUAAAGCUAUGAUAUAACCUGCAUUUUCCAUUUUAUUUGUUACAUAGCAUAUUGUUUAGUAAGUUGCCUAAAUAGGGGUCUUGAACUUGAUUAUCUGUAAUGAAGUUGGUUAGUCACACUGGUUAUUAAAAUACUCAAAUAAUAUUUCUGCAGUACAUAUAUAUGGCUCUGACUUGAAUCCUAACAUUCUACUUCUCCUGGGCCUCUCCCCCAGAUUCCCAGACUUUUCCAUGAGCCACCAAACUCAGAAUUAAUGCCUGAACCUACAGUUUCCUACCCUAGCAGCAUUGCCAGCUUCUACAUGUCUGCCCCUUCCUGAAAGUUGUUUCUGGAUAGGUCUAUGAUGAAUGUUAGAUAAAUAAAUAAAGGGCUACAUGGAAUCCAAGUUAAAGGAAAAGUAGAUUAAAACCUUGCUCUAAGUAUUCCUAAACUGCAGAAUCAAAGGUAAACCAUAAAUCAUAGCAAAUGUGAGACAGGUUUAAAAUAGUGCUACAGCCAGGUCCAUGGCAAUGCAUAAUGCCUAAAACUCUGCUAGGAAAAUAAACAGUAACUCAGUGAGUACAUCAUGGACCACCCCCAGACUUCUCCUAAGUUAAGGGAAUCAAAAGAUUGCUUGGCAAGAGGCCCACUCUGGUUUCCUGAUCAUUUACAAGGUUUCAUAAUGAAGUCAAAGGAUAUUUCAUUUGUCUUUAUACUUUGGGCAGUGCCAGUGGCUCUGUCCGGUGUUUUUCCAGUCUUGCCUACCUCCUUAGAACAUUUGCAUUGGCAUCACAAAAGGUUGGCUUCACAGUCUUGUAAAUAGUUGAAUAAAAAACCUCUAAUACUUGGCAUUUUAAACGGGCCCUUAGAUGGUUCAUCUAAAAUCUAUUUGCUUUGGCUGGCAAUACAGAUUCUCUGGGUAAUGAACUUCAAUUUUGUCACCUGGUUAUAUCUUUGAGAUAGCAGAAAAAGGGAGAUGGAAUUAGGAGGAGAGAUUGCUGUACAAAUAACUUGGCAUUAAAGACUUCAUUUUCUCUGACUUGUCAGGGCAUGAGCUAAACUUGAGACACACUAUUUUGCUAUAAAAUGUGAUGAUGGAGUGUUUUAAAUUUAUGAUAGGGUUAUUCCUCUACAUUGGCAAGUUUGAGAUAGACAGGUACUACAGCAAGCUCCAAGUAUCAAAUAACUGAGAGGCAAGUUCAAGAUAGAUUACUUUCAGUCUGUAGCAGUCUAUACAACUAUAUUUAUUAAUUUCUGUGCUUACGAUCUCCAUACUCUUCAAACAAUCUUGAGAAAAUGUGGCAUCAGAGGUAAGCCUUCCAGGUGCUUAGAGAAGAACACCGAAUUCUGUCCAUUGUUGCCUUCUCCUACUUGGAAAAUAUGUCCACAGUUUAUGUUUUUGAUGCUGAGCAGUAAUUAAAUGUGGGAAUUGUGCAAUUUCAGAGGCCAGCCAGAAUCAGUUUUUUAUUCUCUCUUAACUGGUUUCUGUACCUUUCUUGGUCUGUUCUUCCUUGCUUAUAUAGCUUUUACAACUGUGUCUUCAAAUGCUGAGGACCAAGAGAUAACAGAGUAGUGUGCUGGUUUAACUGGCUGAGCUCAGUCUUCCUCCCUUAAAACCUGGUUACCUGAGGCCAGUUCACUAAAUCUUUCCAAAAGUCACUUGGAGAAUUCAGCCAUAAGAGAUUAGCCAAGUUUCUGGCAAACAGGAAUUUCUUAACUCUGAUUUAUCAUAGACUUUAUAUUCAUGAUGAACCAUUUUAUUUGUGAUUGGGUUAUUUGGCUAGACAUUGUUUGAGUCCAUCUAAAUCAGGUGCUUUGGAAGUUUUUGAAAAAUGGCCAAUCCAUCAUUACAAUGUGUGCUCUCCCUUGAGAGCAGCAGUAGAGCAGUAGUUUUGAUUAACACUAACUUCAUACUGAGAAAUUUUAGUGGUGUAAAGAAAUUAUAGGCAAUAAUAAUUUUUAAACAUUAGCAUUGUACUUGAGAAAUUUAUGACUAGAAAUUUGAACACUUAAUUUACCCUUAACAUUGUUCAUUUUUGUCAUUAUUGUUAAGUUUUAGUUUUUAAGGUAGUCUUGUUAAUUUGUUAACUUUUUAGGGUUUUCUAGAGGUCUAAUUUUUAAAAUUACAGUGAUACAUACAGAAAUAUGUAAUAUGAAAUUGUAUAUUAUCUGUUAUAUGUUUCCAAAUAAUAGAUAUGAAAGUGUACUAUAGUAUUAAACUAAGACAUGAAUUAUACAUUUCUGCAAGCUACAUCAAAAUUGGUUUUCUAGUCUAUUUCCAUAUAGGCUUGAAAUAUAUUGUAGUAUCAUAAAAACAACAGAUUAAAGAUGAAACCAUAUCAUUAGUACUAGUUAUGGAUGACAUGCUUAGCAUAAGCUCUGUAUCAGCACUAACUAGGUAAUCAGAGAUGAUUUCAGGGAUAAAUUAGCUGAUACUGAAUAGGGAUCAAAAAUGUGCUGCACAUGAGAGCUGAAUUCUCAUCUGUUGCUUAAGUUGACCCAAAAUAUAUAAUUAAAUCUAAAUUUAUUGAUGAGAAGCUGCUCAGUGAAAGAUAAAAUAUGUAUUAUUACCUGCCAUCCUUUUGGACAAAGAGUAGUGCUUUGGUUUUAUUUAUCAAAAGCAAUUCUUUGAAGCAUAAAUGGGUAUGUGUGUGUAGUUGUUAGGAUUUACUAGCAUCUGGAAUAUUACUUUAAAUAAUUAAUGAAAGUGACAUCAAAGCCUGCUCCUCUCUGACCUAUAGAUUUUUAGUCAUCAGUGGAAGAUCUGAUGGUACACAGUGUUUUCUUUGCCUAACCUAUCAGACCUCUUUGGAGGUAUCCCAAAUUUGUUGAUAGAUACUAAAUUGAGUGAUUAAUGUUUGAUGUUAGGCAGCUGUGGGAACUGCUCAAGGGCUUAUGGUUGUUUGUAGUGCACAGAAAAUAUAUGCUUUGUAUAAUCAGUUCAGCUCUCUUUGUGAUCCUGUAUUUUAUGAUUCAGCUAUACUUAUGUAAAUAAAUAAAUAGCACCUGGCAUAGUUUGAUCUUUUUCUUCUUUCUAAUUAAAAAGCAAAAUUGAAAUAAAACUUCCCAUUAGAAAUGCCAUUUCUGAAUCACUUACUUUUUAGUUUUUAUUUCUGUACUUUCAUUAAGCAUAUUCUGUAAAUAUUUAUUGUACCUUUUCAUUUGAGAAAUUGCACCUUUUUUUUUUUUACCAGUUCCUUAUAAUAUUUGGCAGCGUAUUUUUUUAGAGUUAGGCAUUUGAAGGGUACGCUAGGUAACAAAUGCUCAGAAGUGUCUCUUGUACUCUGCUGCUUUAUAUUAAUCAAUAAAAUCUUAGACAAAUAAUCAGAAGUUGUUCUUUGAAGUGGCAAUGUCCUUAUAUCGCAGUUAUAUUUUUUAAUUCAUGUUCUCUGUGACCUCACUACAAUUAUUAAUCAUAGUUUCGGAUCUGUGUAUGGGAAGGUGAACAGUCUUGAUUUCUCAGUUUUCAGAGAACCUCAAGGUCUAUUGUAAAUAUUGUCCAUUGUGAAUAUUUAUUUACCCUCGUGGCCCUCCCUAGCCAGCUCCAACUCACGGCUUGAAUGUUUUCCAUGCCAGUUGACCACGGCAUCUUGAAUCCGGUCCAUCUGGCUCUUUCCUAGGACAUUCAAAACUCUGUAUCUGAGUAACAAUAUUUGCAAAAGCUUUAGGACACUAUUACAUAGCACUGUAACUUUGAUGUCGGUUAAGGGACAAAGUCAUAUUUCUUUUCUUCCUUGGAGAAUCAAUAAUGUGGUCAUACUUUCAGAGACAGGCAUGUCUGAACUACGAGCUGGCAGUACAUUAUUUUCAAAUCUCUUUUCUCCCAAAGGUCCCUCAAGUCUAGUCUUCUUUGACAGUUUCAUCAUGAAUGUGCUACAGUCUUACCGUUCUGUGCAACCUUAGAAAAGUUCCAUGGAAAACAGUAUAAUUAAUACAGUGUCUUUUACUGGGUCCCAUUUGUAAUGCCCAAAGCAACAGUUGUAUUAUAUUUCACUUGGAUGGGAUACUUCAUAGUAGGUGGCUUGAGUUUGAUAUGCAGUGUGAUUAUAUCCUCUGUGUCACUGGGAAUUUGGAGUGACUUCUAUGCAUACUUUCUCUAUACCUACAACAUACUCUGUUGUUUCAUUUAUUUGUUUCUUCAUUUAUUUAUGCCAAAAUGAAUUGCUUUUUCCAUGUAAAAUAUUUUUCAGCACAAAUGAAGGAAAGGAAAUGGAGUAGGGAAAAAAGUAUGUAAUACCUGCAGCACUGUGCCCAGCAGAUCAUUGGUGGUGGCUUUAGCAGUGUUCUUAUUGUUGCGCCUUUCUAGAAUUAUUACUAUUACCAUCACUUUUAUUAUAGUACUUCCAAAACUUUUUGCCAGGUUCAUUCUAUUGUUCUUUAUAGAUGAGACCAUUGCUUUACCACAAAAGGCACUGAGAAAUGAGAUAAUUAUCACUAGGUAACUAGUUUGAAGGUGGCACUUAAUCUAAUUGUUUAGCAGGGCCCUGCCUUGCUCUGCAUUCAGACUUCCUAGGGUCAAUUCCUGGUUCCCAUUUUUGUUUACUGUGUGGCUUUUAAUUAUUUAUAUUAUUUCUUCAUCUGUAAGUGGAAAUCAUGAGACCCACUCAUUGGAAGGAUGAAAUUUGAUAAUAAAAUAAGCAGCUCAUCCUUAGUAAGCACUUUGCAAGCAGUCAAUGUCAAUGCUGUAGUUUUAUUGUUGCUCUAAUUGUUAUUACUGUGUGUUAUUUUUUUCACUGUUAUUGUUUCUACCAUGAAGACAAUUUUUCCCUUUACUGCCUAACAAAGAAUCCACAUAUACUGUCUGCUUUUUACAGUAAGCACAAUAAACAGAUCAAGCUAAUUGAUCUUUCACUCAUAGCAUAAACAGCAUGUUCUCAAUUAUAUAGAAAUGUUCGGGUGAAAUCAUUUUAGUUCUAUGCUGAUCAUCAAAUCAAACCAUGAGCUUCCUGCCCUUUAAGAUAAAAAUGUGUAUAGUCUCUAUUUGAUUCCUGAGACAUUACUUCCAAGAUUAUAUUUUACAUAUAUUUGUAUCUGUGUACUUAUACUGAUCAUAUAUGUAUAAGUACAUCCACCUUUUGGCAUGAAAUCUCUGCGCUUGAAAACUAGUAUUACAUAAUUAUUAUCACUAGAUCAAGAAAGUGCAAGUAUUUAUAUGAAACUUCUUAACAAUAGCGUUGCUCUCAAUAGGUUGUGUAGGGAUCUAUAGUAAUUAUACAUAAUGUGGCUUGUGGGAUGCCUGGCACAUGCUUAUGCAUAUACAUUCAGUAUACAUAAGCAAACAAUAAUGGUAUCAAAGAGUAUAUAACAGAAAUGUAUCACUAAAUUAGAAAUCCACUGACAAAUUUAACCACUCAGAUUCCUUCCUUGCAUCUCUCUUCAAAGAAAAGAAAUAAUGAAAUGAAGAAAUGAGUGAUCAAUUUCUUGAUUCUAUUAUUAGCCUUAAUUUUGUGUACAUGUAAUUUUAUGGUCUUUAUUAUAUUUUAGGUUAUAAAUAAAAAAUUUUAACCAUUGUAUUAUGGUUUGGGCCUAUCUGUCUUCCCCCCAGAGACUUACCCAGUUAUAGGUGGGACUUUUCAGAGGAGGCUGGAUCUAGAGUAUGUAAUGCUGGGUUUGAUGAUAUGUGAUUACUAAAUUAUUUCACUGGUUAUGUUUGGUGUAGUUCUGGGUAGACUUACUGGUACUCUACCCUGAGUGUGAGUGCUGCCCAUCCUAAGGUAACCUGGGUGCAAUGUAAAAGGGACAGAAAGAAGCUGCUACUCUCAGUUGCCUGGUUUUGCUGCCUUGUGUCUGCUGUUACCUGUUUCUCCUCUACAAUGCCCAUCUGCCAAGUCACGCUACCAUGGUUCCACCUGAUUAUGGACUAAAGCCUCUAUAAAGCAUGAGCCAAAAUAAACUUUUCCUCCUUUAACUUUGGGUGUCAGGUAUUUUGUCUCAGCAACAAGCAAAGGUAAGUAAGACAUACUGAAAAAGAGUUCAAAAGAACUAAAAAAAAAUACAUUCUGCAAUCCUCAAGAAAAGUUAAGACCAUUCCUCUUCUCACUCCAUGGGUUAAUGGCAGAUUUGACUCUCUAUUGUUUGUUUUCUUUUGUAGGAAAAAGUAAGAGUAAUUGUUUUAAUAUGAUUUUAUAGAUUCUAUUCUUAAAAAUACUGCAAGAUAUAUAGUCCAGUAUUAUAUUCAACAUAUUGAAGGCUAUAUAAAUAUAUAACAUAUGUAGAGAAAUAUACAUUGAAAUGCUGAAAAAUAAUAUAAAACAAUUUAUGUUAAUAUUUGCUUACCUGAGUCCAGCAACCUUGGAAAAUAGUAUUAGAUAAAGAAAUUCUAUACUUUUUGUGUUCUUGUAAAGAGCCCUCCUUCCCUUACCUCUCUUUCUGUCUGACUCUGUAUCUGUCUCUGUCUCUCUGUCUCUGUCCCUUUCCUUUUCUCACUCUCUGUAUUGGUGGUAUUGAGGAUUGAACCGAGGGUCUUCAUAUUGAUAUAUAUUUUCAUUCAGAACUCAGUAAGUUGCCAAGGCUGGAAAAGCCUCUGCCUUACCCUCCCACAGUGCUGGAGGUGCAGGUGUGCACCACCAUGCCUUGCUAAGAGCUGCCAUUUUCUGUAUUACUUGGACAAACCUACUUAAGAACCCCCUCAUAAGACCUCCUUGACAUAGCCCGAAGCGGAGCUCCCACACUCCCUGAGUGUAUUAUUUACUAACUCCGAUGGCACCUUUCCUUUUUUCGUAUUCUUGAACUGUGACCUGGCCUUCAGCAUCCAAGUGCAGAACAUCACCUCUUUAAUGAUCCCUCUCCAGAAGUGGUUGAUUUUAGAGAAUGCUUUUCCUCCUCAGUUGCCUUAUCAGGCCACUUGCUCAUCCCACUUCCCCACAACUAUUUUAUAUACUCCUGUUUCCUCCUCCUGUAAAAGAAAAUCCCUUUCUGCCUGACUUUUGAGACACCUUCACAUCUUAAGGUCAGAGCUGCCUUAGAUGGCAGUAGUCUCUCUCCCCUUAUUAAAUCACCUUUUCUAAUAAAAUCUUAAGUAUAGAUGUGUUUUUAGCUUACGUUUGCAUGUAUUCCCUCUGUAACCUACAACUAUUAUCUGGUCUUCACCCUAAUCACAAUCAGUUUCCUGUCCCAGACUUUCUCUAUGGUACUGUUGACACAUUUGUUCCCUUCUCCUGUCUCUUACAAGGGGGUAUUUUUAUUCACAUCUUGCGCCAAGACACUGAGAUUCCUAUGUGUCAAGUCAUCCUGAAGGAGACUUGGAAGGAGGGAUGGAAUCUGAAAACUUCCAUGACCAAUAUCAUAACCCUCUGGUGUCUUCCUCCCUUGCCUCCAUUAACUCCUGGAGGUCUUGGCUAAUAUUGGGCUAGUAGUGAUGAUGGCAGCUCCAUCACUGAGUGAGCUGCAUACAGAUUCUGUGUGUCCUUUUCCUUGUGACACAGACCACACAUGGGGAGACUGAUGCCAGUAUCAUUCCUAUUCUGUUUACACUGAAGGAGUGCGAGGUUUGAGUGAUUAUCCAAUUGGCCUACGCCUUUGAAGUGGGGAUGUAUCUAAAUGACAACCAACCGUUACCCUUCACCUUGUGAUUAUCCAUGAACUGCAUUCCUAGAUGCAGCCCUUCUAGUUCUUAUCUAGCUUCCUGCAGUACUAAACACAGGUGGUCCUCCAAAACCUCUCUCCUUAGUCACUGGGAGUUUGUGGUGAUGAUGGAGCACUAGUUUCAGAGUCACAACAAAGGGAUUAAAUCUAUCUUCUGCUCACAUUAAAUGUAAUAUUUAUUUGUUGUUUAUCUCAAAUAAAUAAAUGGGAGAGAAUGCUUUCCAGGCCUGUGGUAGGUGUUACUGUAGCCAAGGAGAAAAUAUUUAAGUAACUGAGUUCCUGUGCUUCUCUGCUCUUUAUUUUCCUUUAUUUCCUUUGUUUUCCUUUAUUUUCCUCAUCUGCUCGAUGGAUUUCUCAAGAUAUCAGAUUUAUGAAAAUGUUCUAAAGGUUUGAGAAAGAAUGAGUGAAACUUUCUGGUCCCAGGGCCUUGCAUAUAGUAAAUACUCUGCUGGUUACUGCAGCUAUUAUCAUUAUUGUCAUCAUCAUCAUUAUCGACAUUAUCAACAUCAUCAUCACCCUCAUAUUAGCUGUUAUUUUAACCCCAAAAAGUCUUGUUCAUAUCAUAGAAGAAUAAAUAUCUUUUUAUGAUGAACAAAAGUCUAGAGGCAACUAAUAGCAGAUAACUCAAAUUGUCUCAUUUUGACAAUCAGUUGUGUUUGCUAUUUAAAUAGUGCUAUUUAAUGAUUAGAAUUGUAUUUUAUUAAGAGUAAUACACAUGUGAAAUUGAACCUCUGGUGUGUUACUUUAAUGUCUUAAAGAUGCAGUUAAUCAUUUUCUUGCCUAAUCAUUAAUAAAGUAUAAAAACUAUAAUAUACAAAUGAAUAUUAUGAAAUUUCCAGAGUUCUCCAAAACUACUCAUUAAUUUAGCCCUAUAAAAUUAACCAUAAACAUUUUUAUUAUAUAUGAGUGUGACAGAAGCCCUUGGGUGCUUCAUUUAUUCUCUGGUGUUCUAUUCUGUUUAUUUAAGAUUCUGAGACUUAUUUUUUCAUUAAUUUUGAAUUUUGCAAAUUAUUAUAAUGUGAACACAUGUUCAUUUUUCCUUGGAUGAGAAAAUAAGCUUAAUGAGAAAAUUACUUAGGCUUGUUAUGCCAGAAGAAAAUCAGGGUUUUGGUGUUGGCCCGGGCAGGGUUGACCUUCCCUGGUCUCUGUCUGCCUUGUCUAAUUCAUUUCCCUUGAAAGCUGUGUGAGCAGACACAGCCCAUGUCCUGAUUGUGUCACUACUGCUGGCAGGAAGAAAAAUGCAUCAGAAUUCAUGGCGAUAUCUCUAUCCAGUUCUGAAUAUGAGGUUUUGUAAAUGUCUCCCAAAAUAAUGCCUCACCUCUGAUAUGCCUCCCAGUGUUAUCUGCAGUUCUGUGAGGUCAGAGUUUCAUGCACAGUUACCUCAAACUCAACAGUUUUGAAAGAAGAUUCUUUCCCACUUUAGUGCUCCUUCUACCAUAAAGUUUUCCUGGUUAAUGGGCUUUCCCUGGCUUUGAGUUUCAGGUUUUGCAAUAUUUGUCUCUGUUUUUCUGUUAAAUCUCCCUGGGUUUCUCACAUUCUUCUGUUCUAUCCCCACUGCCAUAUCCCAAGUCCUUCUUCCCACCUGUGCACCCGUGUCCACUCUCCUAUUAUUCCACCUUCCUCUCUCUUUGAAUAUUGUAAUAGGUUCCUAAUUGAUCUCCCUGCCUUCAGCUCUUCUAUGCCCUUUAGUUAAUCUUGGAGCAGUACUCAUACAAAUUAAGUGUUUUAAUUGCUGUUUGAUUUGAAUUGAAUAUUAUCAAAGAAGCUGACUAUCAGUGUGGGAAUGAAUUUUUCAAUGUUGGUACAUUAUCUUAAGAAGAAGAUCUUGAGAGUAGAGAAGUACUACCUUCAAGGGUGCACACAUCUUUUUUUAUAUCUCCAUUGCAUCAUUUACUGUAACUCAGUUUGAUUUGUAAUCAACAUAAUAGCUCUUCCUUUAAAAAUUUUUUUUAACUCCAAGACGUGCAGCUUGUUAGUAUUAAAAAUACCUGUUCUCUGUAAAAUGAAUAGAAUAAGAAAUUUCUAUAAUACAACACUAAAAGAAGAUAAAUAUCAGGUUGUCAGAAAAUUUAAAUGAAUAAUGGUAUUUGAGACAUUUAUUUUUUUUCUUGCAGUUUUGAGAUAUAGUAAUUACUGCUAUUUAAAUUUCCCCCCAAUUUAGCUUGCUUAGAUGUCUUUGUGAUUGGAGGCUUUUGGACACAUAAGGUAUUUUCCUAUCCUGUCAGUUCUUUAAACAGAAUAUUUUCAUUUGAUCUAGAAGAAAACAAAGCUUGUAGAGUUGAAAAGCAGCAAAACUAGCCUUGUUUUUCAAGUAGGGCAUUGUAUAAAACUUGGUAGAACGAAGAGUAGGGAUGUAGUUUGAAGAAAUAAGUGGGCUUAAGCUUACAUUCAUUUAAAAGAUGAAGUCUUUUGAUACUGUUUCGGCAUAUAAUUAGGUUAAUAAGUUAGUUAAAAUAUGAACACUCAAACCAAAUUAAUCUUCUUAUUUGAAAUAAGAAUAUUUCAAAUGCUCAACUUACAAUUCAACAGUGGAACGUUCAAUGACUGAAGUUGGCCUAAGCUCUUUUUACCUAUGCAGAAUAUAGGGAGACCCAGGAGAUGUGUUUCUGUUCCUUGAAUUGUGCCCUUCUCAGCAGGGGACAAGAAACUUAACAAAUUCAGUUCUGCCCUAAUGCUUCUUAUUUAGAUAGUAUUACAUGUGUUUACUUCUGUGCAUACAAAGGAUUUCAGGUAAAUAAGAUUCUGUAGUAAAAAUGCCAAACUAUGUAGAUAAAGUAAAAGCUAUGUGUUCUCUUAUACAAGGGCCUUCUGAUUCUUGUGAUGGCCCUGCUAGAAGGGGCAUGAAUCCAACUGGAAAUUGAUGCUUUUCUCCUUAGUAAAGUUACACUCAUUUCUAGAUGAUAAACAAUUCCCUAUUAUUGUGCUGGGCUCUGGGUUAAGUAUUUAAUUUUGCCACAAAAGUGUAAGGGACAUGUUCUUCUCCAUGUCAGAAGUGUGGACACCGAAACUCAAAAGAGUUAAGUGAACAUACCAAAGCCAAGGCUUUCAGUGGAGUCUAGAUGCUUUUAGCUUCAAGGCCAUAGCUGUGACUUUGGCAACUCCUCUGGAUCUGCUGUUAAUUUUCUGGCAUCACCAGUUUUAAAAAAUCAUGAUUAUUAGAAUUCAGAAAUUUAUUUCCCUCUUCCAUUAAAUUAGGGAUUUCCGUAAAGUUUCUUUUAGAGGAAAGAAAAUUCCUCAGAGAAGUAGGAAUGGAAGAAGGGAUGGAUUUAAUAAGUUUUAAAGGACUGACAGGUUUAGGGCCAGUAGCUUUGACUGAAGGACAACAUCCCACAGUUUGGUCUUUUGUUAGUAUUAAGUGGUUAGUUUUAUUUGACUAAAUCCUUAAAAAUGUGAUAAAAAAUUUAUGAAUGCAAAUAAGAAAAAUUAUUUUCUCUUCAGGGAAAUACAUAUGUAUUAUUUUUGUCAAUUUGAAGAUUUUUUUAAAAACCAAGCUGAUUACCAAAAGAUAAGAGAAACAGCUUUUUUUUUCAACAUUUACAUGAAAUGACACUAACUUUUGUUUGAACAAAUGUCCCACACUUUUCAAUAAUAUGAUGUAUCUGUCCCUUUCUGCCUCUUAAAAAUGGAAAUAUUUGUAAAGGUAGUAGCAUUUUUAGUCUUUCUUAUUCCCACAAUUCCCCACUGUGUUACUUGGUGCUGAGCCUUAGUGGAAACCAGCAGGUGCAGGGGUUCUCUCGGUGAGGUGCCUUGCACGGGUGUGGCUGCCUGCAGGCUGUGGGGUCUCAUCCUAACACUGCGGAACGAUGCAGAGUGGGUCUGUCUUUCUUUUGGGAGGAUUGUGUUGUGUCAGUUAUGAUGUACUCAGGUUCUUCUCAUUGCACAUGGAGAGGUGCUUGAAAGUACUUGUGUGGCCAGAUGGUGCCUGCUGGACUCCUCAGUGGCUUCCCAUUAGCUUAGACACUGCUGGCGUGGUUCUCCCUCACCUUUGUCUCCUUAUCAGCUGCUUAUCCCCCAUGCCCACCACUCUCCCACUCUAUGUCCUAAAUUCUAGUCCCCAUGCUCUCCAGUGCCUUUCCCCAUAUAGGUGUCUUUGCAGAUGGUCCUAUGCCUGCCUUGAUGCUCUGAUGGCCCUCACCUUCAAUAUCAUUACCUCUUUGGGGUUCUCCCUACCUGUAAAAGUCUCUGUUGGAAACUCUUGGCAGCCUGACCCUCUGUUGAGAGGUCAUGUCUCAACUGUACUCUGCAUGUGUUUUCUCAUAAUGUUGGAGAAAGCAGAUAGGAUAUGAUGAUCAAGCUCCUAGAUACUGUAUUCAUGCAUCUGGCCUCACACUAGACUCUGCCACUAGGCACUUUGACACAGUGGCACUUCUACAAAAUGGUAGUGAUUACCAUGCCUCAUUCUUAGAAGUGUGGUGGGCAAAUGAGUUGAUAUUAGAACAUCACCUGAUACAAGGAUGAAUUUCACUGCAUGGUAUCUCAUUGUAUUAUUUGAUUAAUGGUCAUGAAUCUAUUAGACUGUGAACUCCAGCAAGAUGAGGUUUCAUUAGAUUUUGUUCAGCAAUGUGCAGGCUGCACCUGGCACAGUGCCUAGCCCACUGUGGACACCAUUCAGCAGUUGUAUUUACUAUACUUUGGCACUGAUAUAGGUAAACCAUGAUUGCUUCAGCCUCAGAUCAAGCUGGUAAUUUGAUCUCUCAUUGGAUUUAGAGGUGUGCUCUUGAAAACCAGACACUAGAUCUUGUUUCUUUGUUCUGUACCUUUUGAUGGAAGAACAUGAGAUCCUAUCUAGAAUUGUGAUCAGGAUUAAGGGUCUGGCUUUGUCUUCAAUGUGGGCUUCACUUGUACUAAACUAAUGGUACCCUCAUUUUCAUCUUUCUGCUGCACAUUGCUUUUCAUUAGUUAUAAAUUUAGUUGGAAGGUGAGCAUAUCACACAUAUUCAAAGUAGAGGUGUUGUAGUUAGGGCAGACUACUUCCAGAGUGUGGUCCCCCACUUUUAGCCCACUUGUGCCUGUCCCUGGAGAUCUUUGUCUUCAACACAUAAUGUGCUGUCUAAGGCUAUUAAGUGGUACACCCACUUGGGAAACGUAAUGAACAAACAUGGAAGUAGUCUACAGAAAGAGAAAGCCUCCAGCCUUUUAAUCUUAAAUAUGGAAUAAUCAGAAAUGAUGACAUCAUGAACAGCUGAUCCACUUAAGCUAAAGAUAAGAUCUUUAUCGUGCAGCAUAUGAUUUUGAAGGCUACCUCAUUUCAUUUUUAAGAAAGAGCGUGUCAAAUGUAGUGAAAAAAACAAAGUCAUAUGUAUGAGUCAUUAGUUACUUGAUUUUCAUUUAGCUGAAUAACUUAGUGUGAUAAUGUCUCCUGGGCUCUGAGAAAUCUUUCUAUCCAUGAUACAAGAGAGAUAUUUCAAGAGAUAUGUUUGUUCAAGAGUGUUAUAUAUUUCAGAUUUUGAAUUUCUACUAUUCAUGGUUACAAAUGGUAGAAUUGGGUUUGGUGAGUAAUUUUUAAUGAAAAGGAAAAUCAAGAAAAAGGCAUAAUGUUGAAUAGCAUAUUUAGUGCCAGAAAACUUGAUAAAACGAUCAAACUCUUUUUUGGUACUUCCAGAUUUAAUUAAAAUAAAGAUUUCAUUUUUCAUUGAGAAAAAAAAUUAUUGCGUAGUGGAAUGCAUCAGAAUAAGGGGUCCUCCUCAACCCCACAUGCACAACAGGGGAUUUUCUUAAAUAGAUUUUCUGUGCCAGUUUUGUUGCAUAAAUUCUUUCUAAACAUUUUUUUAAAAAUUUAAAAUAUAUUUCCUUUAAAUAGAGUCCUAAGUUUGGUGUUGAUGAAUAAGGAUCCCUUAGAUUCAGAUAUUACUUAAGUUGACUCACUACUUUUACCAUGAAUUUUCUUCUGAACAGGGAGGAAAAAUAUUUAGUUGAUAUGGACCAUCUGGCUUUAAAAUGUGGAAAAUCGUCUUCUUGUGUGCUUCUAUUUUAGAGUGACUAUUGCGUGAGAAUUCCAAUGAAUCCAAAAUAGUAUAUUCACAAUUUAAACUUAAUGCUUUGGGGAUUGUAAAUCACAGCACAUAUGGGAUGACACACGUUAUGGAGGAAGUGGGUACUCGUGGCCCAAAUGCAAAACUAAGUCUAUGUUCUAUGUUUAUUGAAUAUAUUUAUUGUAACAAAAUGAAUAUGAAUGAACUCUUAGAUAUUUAAUCUUAUCAUUGGGACUUUUAAAAACCAAAACAUUAUUUGUUACAUUAUUAUGAAUAUUCACUAACUGCCCUUCCUUUUAGAGGUUCUUGAAAAAAGAAAUGGUUCUCAUUAUUAUUUUUGCAAGGUUAAAUGAUACUAUUUUUCAUUUUUAUUUAUUUUUGAGAUACAGUCUUGCUGUGCCCUGGCUUUGAACUCACUAUGUAUCCUAACCUGGCCUCUAAUGCACAGCAAUCUUUUUGCCUCAGUCUCUUGAGUGCUAGGAUUCCAGGUAUGUGCUUGCAUGUCCAGCGUGCAUGGUUCAUUUAAAAAACAACAAUAACAGCAAACAAGCAAGAAGGGUAUUCAUUUAAAAGGAAGCUGUGCUUCCUAUUUUUAGUGGUUUGUUCAAAGACAUGGAACUCCUUUCUUAUGGACCUCAUAUUCUGGCAAAACAAGAUAUUUGUACAAUGAUUUUCAUGAUUAGGGUAGCCAAGAAACUUCCUCAAUUUAACAUUUCUCAAAUUAUGCUCUGAUAAAAUUUAUUCCACAAAGGAUAAAUAGGAGAGUUUUAUCAAUAGUUAAUCUUUUGAAGCUUUUCUUUCUUUCUUUCUUUCUUUCUUUCUUUCUUUCUUUCUUUCUUUCUUUCUGAGAUGAGGUCUUUUAUGUUGUCCACAUUGGUCUCGAACUUCUGGAUUCAAGUCAUUCUCCUACCUCAACUUCUCAAAUACUAGGAUGCAAAUGCAUACCACCGUGCCUGGCUGUCAAAGGGUUUCUGAGCUUUGAGGCACUGCAUUGUGGACUGUCUUGGCUGCUUUUCUCUUGUUACUGAAACAAAAUACCUGACACCCAAAAUGAAGCAAGGAAAGGUUUAUUUAUCUUACAGUUUUGGAGAUUUCAGUCCAUACUCAGCUGGCUGCAAGGCAAGGUGGCAUGGCUGAGGGGCAGCCAUUCAUGGUGGCCACAAAUAGCAAGAGCAAAAUGAGCAAAAGAGAAAAAAGCAGGCCUCUUUCCAACCCUCACAUGGUAUGUUGGCUCCACCCCUGGGCAGGUGAAGCACUCACACUAUUAACCUCAGCACCAGAAAACAAACCAUUCACAAACACUAGAUUCAGCAGCCUCUGUGACAGCAUGAGGCUUGGGGGGCCACCUAGACACAAAUUAUAACAUGGAUUUAUGAAAAAAGUUAUGAGGCAGUGUUUCUUCAACUGUUUUACCCCUGAUGUAAUUUGUAGGACUUUUAUUUCUGGCAAGAAGGGCUCCUUGUUUGGUUGGCACAUGUAGCCUUUUGAUCAAAGACCUUCCUGGAUAUCAUAUGACUUCAAAGUACUCUGCCUAUACCACUCUAGCACAUUUGAUCAUUUCUAAAAUUGAGAUGCAGUUUACAAUCAUCACAUAUGUAUUUUUUUCCUAAUUCCAGGAACACUGUUACAAAUUUGACAGUGCUGUACAAUUAAGUCAAUUAUUAAGUCAGAGUUAAUUCUAAUUUAUUCAUUAUGCUCAGUCUGAUCCAUAAUACACUAUUAAGUGAAAAGUGUUGAGUGAGAGGAAACAGUUUUUAGUGAGAAUUAUUCUAACCACUAUACAAUAAGCUAUGUUUUCCACAAUUUAUAAGAGCUGGUUAAAAAAUAAUGAUCACUCCCAUUUUAUUGUAACCCAGUGUUAAGUGGUAUAUUGUAUCUGUUAGUGGUAUAUUGUAUAUGUUAUGGCCCAUUUUAAAGUUGAAGAAGUUGACACUCAGAGAAUCCUAAUGAUUUAUCCACUGGACCAGCUGAUAGAGAAUGAGAUUAUAAUCCCACGAUGGCUGAUUUUCACAGGCUACUCUUUGUUUUGGUUAACUGAGUAUGAACAUUUACUUACUGCACCAUUAUUGCUAGCUUAUACCUUUGCAUUCUGACAUACACCAAUGGUUCCCCAGAAUGGGUCACAUUGGAAUUACCUUGAGAGCUUUCAGAAAUCCUGGAUUGCUGAGCUCAUUCUCACUAACUCUGGGAUGAGACUGGUUAGCUGCAUUUUUAAACAUGACUAUAAAAGCUCCAAGUGAUGUUGAUAAAGCUAAAUUUGGAAAUGACUGGUAAACACUGUAUAAGAAAUGCUUUUGUUUCUACUGAAGCUAAAAAGUCAUUGCAUACAACUUUCUUCAAGCCAGGAAGAAUAUAUUUGAAUGAUUUAUGGCCUCCAUGUGGGAUCUUAGAACCUGGAAGUGGCAGUUCAGGUGUGUUAAGAAAGCAGAUAUGCACAAACCAAAACCUGCCUGGCCCCUUUGCCUGAAAUGUGGAAUGGCGUCUUUAUGGCUCUUUAUCCAUAUGCUCUUCCCUCUAUAUUUAAAGCCUUCUUUAAAAAAUAACCUCAAUGUAAACUAUCACAGAUGGAUAUGGAGGAGAUGUCAACAUGCACAACCUUUUAGUCCUCAGCACUGAUGGCAAGAAUGAGCCCUUUUAAUCUGCCUGAAAAUAGCUGCAGCUUCCUUGAUCUGAUCUAAUCAAAGGAGCAAACCCUUAGGGGAUUAAAGAGUUCUCACUGCUGCCACUGCCAUUAAUUUAAUUGCUAAGAUACAGUGAAUUAUGGGGAAGUCAAGUGAAAUGUUGAAAUCUUUGGGGCAAGAGAAUAAAUAGGUUAUUCCAUAAUUAGUGUUGCCUUUAAGAAGGGACAUAGUUGUUCCCUGAAGUGUGACUUGGCAGAACUGACAAUUAUGUCUAAAGUCAGCACAGAAGUGAAGAAACAAGUUAGGUGUGGUCUUGGGAAGUGGCAGGAUUGAAUGUGGCAGAGGAAGUCUAAAAUAAAAAUGGUCUUUGACUUCAGAAAAUAUUCUGGGUCCACUUUAAUUUCAUGUAUCCAGGAACUGCAUAUCUUUUUCUGGUUUUUUAAAUUAUAAGCAAAAUUUUUACCCUUUUAAAUGCAUCUAUAAAUAUUUAAAUGCACUACUAUGUAUUUCGUGAAGUAUAGAUCUGCCUAUGGGCCAACACUAUUUAGGGACAUCUGCUCAAAUGUGAAUUAAUUGUGCCUGGUGGCCCUUUGAAUGCCAACUCAUUCCAACACUCCAGCUCAUGAGCAGUGUCUUCAUUCACGCGAUGCAUUGGAUACCCUGUGAAUUAAUGUACUGGUGAAACUAAUGGGUUCAUUACAUGAGUCCAGCCACUUGCUAGACUCAGUUUACCCAAAGGGUAAUGACAUUUAAUGGGAGUUCCAUUAAAUAGGGAUAUUUAUCUAACAAUGCACUUAAACCUUUUAAGACGAAGUAAUUAAUUUUUUUCCUCUUAUGAAUUUUCUUUCUCUGAUACCAGCUUACUCUGAGUCCAUCUCUCCCUAUUGACCAAUUUUAAUUAAAGUAAUUGUCUUUAAGUUGAGUGUGUAGUUAUUACUAGUACAGGGCAGUCAUUCUCAGGAUAUCCCAUUCUCAGAAACUAGCCAUUUAUUUUUGCUUGGUUAUUUGUUUUACAUUUUGUAAUAUUAAAUAAAGGCAUUUCUUGUAUUAAAUUCCUUCUGUGUUAGUUUAAUGACUCUUUUUAGUAUCAUGGUUGUAUCUAUAACAAUUAUUAUUGGUAAUGAAGCAAGGAUGUUAUGAAAUCACCGUAUGCCUGGCAUAGAACUAAACAAAACAUUAUCUCAUUAUGAUCUUUAUUAUAUCUUGUGUUGAUCUAUAAUAUAUUCUAUUCACUGGUUCUCAAACCUUGAACGUAGGCAAGUCUAUCCUGCUUUCUGAUGAAGUCUAGCCAGCUGCCUUAUAAAUGAUCUCAGAUGGCUGCAGAGCUAAGAUUCAAUGUUGAGAAAAGAAACAAAAAGUCUCAAAAGUUAGUAAGUGAUGAGUAGCCCCUGUUGUCUAAGAACUAGACUAAAAAGUUUGUUCAUACUUUGGUUAAAAAGCAAAUCUUGUCUGAUCCUCUAAGAAACCUCGUUUGAUUCAUGUUGAUAUUGAAACUCUACUUUCAUAUCAUAUUACAAUUGUUGAAUACUUUCCGUUCCUUUUUGUUCUUCCAUUUAUUCACAUCAGUACCUCAGCUCACUUUACCCCACUGCACUUUAAUUUUUGUUUUGAAAUCAAGUAUUAUCUUUUAAAAACAGAAGGAAAGAAAGAAAAGAAAAUAUGUUAAGCUAUAUAUACGCUAAUAUAAACAUUGAGUUAAAAAUUGGGUUCAAAUAACAGCUGUAGAUGUUUAAGCUUGUGAUAAUUGAGUAAGAAACUUAAUCUCUUUUUUAUUUUAAAGAAAUUAAGACAAAACAGGCCAUGGGGCUGGGGAUUUAGCUCAGCGGCAUAAGUGCCUGCCUUGCUAGCAGGCAGUCGUGAGUUUGAUCCCCGGUACCGAUAAAAAGGAAAAAGGCAAAAAAAAAAAACCAAAACAAAACAGGACAUAACAGAGCACAUCAGAACAGAACAAUGUAAGCAAAACAGUAUUUCACGAGAAUAAAACCUAUAAUUAACAGUAACUACCACAAUGUCUCUUUCUUUGAAAUAGUUGAGUAUAACUUCAUAUACAAUAUUAUCAAAUAUAACAAAAUAGUAUAAAAAUAUUGGAGAGAAUGAGAGUAUUGCAAAGUUUUCAGAACCAAGUAACAGAAAACAAAAAAUGGCUACUAUAUUAUCUCAUUUUCCAUAGGAAAUUUGUUUAUACUUUCACACGUAAUACAAUCCAAUAAGGUACAACAUGAUAGAGCCAAUAGAAACAGAAGAGCAAGAGCAUGGUAGGACUUCAGAGUAAGAUGAUAUUCUAUCAGUACUGGCUAUUAUAAUGACUUAUUUCCCUCAAAUUAGCUGUUCUUACCAUCACAGAAAAUAAAAUCAAAAAACCAAGACAAACACAUUACAACUUCAAUCAUUAUAAGGCUUCAAAACAAUGUAUGGGGAAUCAUGAUUACCCUAAACUCUUAUUUACUCUUUCUAUUUCUUAUACUAGGGAGACUAUAUGGUAUUUAUAUAUGUGAGUUUGAUUUAUUUCACUUAUGAGUAUGGUCUCAAGUUGUGCCCAUUUAUUAAUAAAUAUCUCAAUGUGAUCAUUCUUUAUAGCUGAGUAAUACUCCAUUAUAUAAAAAUACCACAUCUUUUUUAUCCAUUCCUCAGCUGAUGGACACUUAGGUUGUUUCCAAGAGCUGGCUACUAUUACAAACUGUGCUGCUAUAAGCAUGGGUGCAUGUGGUAUGAUGCUUUCAGUUCUUCUGGGAAUAUGUCCAGAAGUGGAAUAGCUGGGUCGAAUGGAAAAAAAAAAAAAAAAAGAAACAUAAUCUCUCCGUUCCUUAUUUUCCUCUUCUUUAAAACUCUGGUGACAGUAGCAACUCUCUGGAAACACUGAGGGAGGUGAUACCUUUACAUAGUGACAAGUGCCUUGUAAGGUCCCUGGAUGUGCUCAAGAAAUAGUAGCCCUUUUUAAAAGGUUGACUUGGAACUUUUAAAGUCAGGUUAAAAAAUGACUUACGAUGCCAUGGGAUUUGUAUGCUCAAGGACUUGUCUACAAGAACAACAAAUAUGAGCCUGCUUACUCACCAGAAUGUGCCCUAAAGGAGGGUCUCAUCUGCUUUCAGCUCAAGAAACAUUUCAGAAUUUUAAUUAUUUGGAGACACUUCCCAGGGUAAUAGAAGCUGCUUUCUCUUCAUGUCAGACUGAAGAGAUAAUUGUAACAAACGAGCAUUUCUGUGCCAAGGUGUGCCACAGCAAAUGACUUUAUGGAUGAUGAUAAUAGAUGCUCAUCAGCAUGGUGCAGGUCCUUACAUGUUUAGUAGCCACAGACUGCGUCUCCGAAGAUGAAGCCAUUACUUAACCAAACAUGGCAUCUUUUCUUAACAGUCUUUCUUGAACAGUUUUCAAGUUCCUUUUUUCUAAGUUUGAAGACUCAUUACUCACAUUAUUUCUCUCUCUCUUUUGCCACUUCUGUCUCUUCAGACUGAACUACUCCAGGAAAAUGUACUGCCCUUCUUUGGUGCCCUUAUUAGCAUCCUUUACAUAGUUCAUCUGUGCACUUACCAUAAUGUGUUAAGUAAUAAUAACAUCGUUAUCACCAUCCUUAUGGUUCGCUAAUGUUCACUGAGCAUGUAGUAUGUGCCAGACCAUUAUAUUAAAACUUUUGCAUCAUCAUCUCAUUUACUCCUCACAACCUGUGAGCUGGAGACUUUAAUUUCUCUCCUUAUCUAGAUGAGGGAGAGGCUAAGUUAUAGAGUUUAAUGUGUGUGGAAUCACAGCUGGAAUUUUAAAUAAGUCUACAUGUAACCUAAGGACAUAGGUCUAAUAAGAAGCUGCGUAUCUGUUUUAUAAUUCCCUCUCUCCAGUUUCCUCCUAGGUCAGCAAGCUCCCAUGGGUCCUUACAUCUGUCUGGUAUGGAAGGCACUGGGAAGAAUGAAUAAAUGAGUUCAGCACCUUUGCAGAGUGGAUGGUCAAAAAAUGGUAGCUAUUUUUUAAGAAAUUAAAGUGAAGUGAAAGGAUUUUAAAAAGACCAUUUUAAAGAAACAUUCCACUUCUGUGUCCAUUGAAAGUUGAAUAUAGCAAAAGAAAGUUAAAGCCAGGUGAGAAGUAAUCACAUUUGGAAGGUCUGCAGGGCACUUGAUUAAAAAAAAAAAUUCUGCUCAGGCAUAAAAUAAUUAAACUGUUCAUGGCAGCAUAUAAUUGCAUCAUUAUGUAUAAAACUGUGUUACUAUAAUUUGGAUCAUAAGAGAGCAAAGUGUCAAAAUCUUUCUAAUGGUAUUUAAUUUUGUUUUGCUCUUCCUACUAGAAGAAAGCAGUUUGUGCUUCAUACUCAUAAAUUUUUGACACAUCUUUAUAUUCUCUACUGUUGAAAAUCAUUCAUAUAAACCCCUGACAUGACUCACUGUCUAGUUUUGAUAAUUUGGAGUCAGAUUUUUAAUAUAUGCUAUAGGUAGUUCAUUAUUUAAGAUACCUGGGUUUGCAUCCCUUUCAAUUGUGCUUUGUUUUUUAAUCUACCUUAUUUGCAGUUAAUACUGUUAGUAAUAAAACCAAUAAAAAUAAUAACUCAAUUUACUCAAGACCAUUUUAAUUAAAAAUAAGUGCUAACUCUUCAGGGACUAGGUGAAAGUUUACACUUCUCGGAAGACAGGGGCUCUGAACAAAUUAAUAACGUAAACAAGAUUUUGGAGAGCAUAUUUAAUCAACUGAAGCCGAGAAGCUUUUCAAGCAAGAUCUAGCACUUUAGACCUAUCCAUUGACAUUCAGAAGAUUGAUGUGUUAAUUAUUAGUCAUUGUUUUGAAUUCCUUAAUCUGGUCACUUUAGAUACUUUUGUUUGGCCAAAUUCUGCUGGUCUACUACAAGUUCCAGUGUCAUUUGACUGUAAGAAGGACACGUGUUGAAUCUUUACUUAAUAAUUUCUACUGUUACACUUACUCUCCAGUAAAGUAGUCAUUUUGGGCACUGAAUAAAGCUUUCCUGUGCCUUAUCUUUUACACUUGUUCAGGGCUCAGAUUUUAAACACUUCUGAGUCUCCUUGAGACUAAAGGAAAUAAUUCAUAUGAAGCACUAGUACAGUGUUCAUGAAAUAAUUUGUUAAUUAUUAGUCCAUAUUAAUAUGGUUUAAUAAAUGUAGCUACUACUGCAUCUUUUAUCUACCUUGGAAUUAUAUUCCCAAUUAAUUUAUGCAGGGCUUAAAAUAACAUGUAGUUGGACCAUUUCUCCCUUUAUGUUUGGGCAUUUAUUUAUAUGAAAAAUCUCACAAAUAUAUAGAUUUAAAAUGUAUAUUUACUGAUUUCCCUAUGAACAAAUAAACUGAUGGAAAAUGAUAAAUGUUAAAUAUCAGGUAGACCUGCGUUCAAUGAGUUAUGCCUGGUAUUCAAAAUCAAGGAGGCAUCUGACAUUUGAAUAAGGUGACUCCAGUCCUAUGUGGGCCUGAAGACCAUGCAUUUAGGUAAUGCUUAUGGUUAGCACUUUGCUCCUUUGAAAAAGCUUAAUUUUUUCUUUUUUCUCAUUGCUAGAACUGAUUGAACCUAGCACUACACACUCCAGUCCUACCUGCUCUCUAUGGGUUUGGAAUAUUUCCUGUCAUUAAGGAGUCUGGGGCCUUUCUCAGGAUUUUUUCUUUGGUAGUCAAAUACUAAUAGAAAAUAGUUGUGGUUUUCAGAAACUGUGUGUGUGUGUGCGUGUGUGUGGGGGUGUGUGUGCACGUGCAUGUGUGUGAGUGUGUAUAUGUGUAGUGCUGUAGUUUUAAUUCAGGGCACCUCACACACACUUGGCAAAUGUUCUACCACUGAGCUAUAUUCCUAUCCUAUUAUAAGAGAUCAUUGAGCAUAACGAAAUUUAUCAAAAACACACUCAUCUUCUUAGUUGGCGCUAGAGUAAUCAGUUGAUUUUUGAAUAUUCUUCAUGAAAUUUUAUUUACCUGAUAUUUUAUAUAUCUAUAUCUAUAUCCAUCCUCAAAAAUGGCAGCAAAAAAUGUGUAUUUUAUGAUCUCAUCUUCUAUUCCUUGUCAUAGAUUCUGGAAAACUUUUGAAAAUGUUGACACUAUUGAAAAUGUCAAGGAUAAGAUGUCCCGGAAGAUUAAGAAGACAGUUUUAUUAACCUUGUUGAAAUAGGGGAAAUUUCUCCCUAAUAUUUGAGGAAUGUCUCCAAGAGAGAAGUCAUUUAGAAAGGGAGGCUGAAGGUCAUAUAUUAUGCAGGGAUGGAUUGGUCCUUUUUGCUUUGAAUGUUUCCCCAAAACACAAAAGGAUAAGAAUUUUUAACCUUGGCUAGAUAUGGUGAACACAAAACUUUAGUUCAAUAUUGCCAAACAGAUAACUUAGUAAAACUCACUUUGGUUAGUAAUAAAAGCAUAGUUGCCUCUUAAUUAAUUUUUGAUUUAUUAAUUGCCAUUUUACCUGAGCUUACCUCAAAAUACUUCAACAUUGUGAUCUCAUUUUUAGCUGGCCUUGAGAACUCCUUGAAACAAGUUUUUAUUAUACAGAUUAAAAAUUUCUAUUCUAGCUCUAAACUAUUAGAAACAACUAAUUCAGAAGCUUUGUCUGUUUAUACAUCUCAUUUAAAUAGCUUAUAUGGUUUCUUUCCAAUAAUAUACCACAUGAUGAAUUUUCUUCAUAUCACUAAAUGGAAACCAGCUUCUUUAUUUUCUCUAAUAAUCUGAAUGAAGAUUUACAUUUUUCAAGAAUAUUUUCUUUAAGAUAGUAAAGUUUUAAAGCUUUUUUUCCAUUACAUGAAUUGAUCUGCACUCAGGUUAGAAUAUUCGUAUUAAUCCCUCCCAGAAGGGAACACAUUUUUCCUUUCACCUAUCCCUUUUAUUUCCUUUGGUCUUCUUUCUGGCCUGAAAUAUGGAGUUCCCCUAUAUUCUCUUAGCUUUGUGCCCUCUCCUUCUUCUAUCAUCUUCCUCCCGAGUCUCAGUCUGUUUGCAUGGCUUUCUGUUGAUUAUCUUUUCUGCAUAUCAGUGAUAUGUUGUUCAGCAAGUGUUCAGGUGCAAUGAAACAAGGCUCUUCUGAAAGAGGAUGCCACACAGAAUCUACAUCUCAUGGGAGGAAAGGGCACUGCCAGGGCACAAACAUAUGAAGGACAGAUGGACUGUUUUGCCGUGUGUGAACCCAAGUGCCGACUGAAGACGAAGCCACUACUGGUGUACCAUCCUGGGAUCCUUUGUACAGUCAAGGAACAGAAUGUAAACACGGCCAGAUGUCUGUCAUGUGGAGGGCCAAUGGGAAAGCCUGGUCACAAAGCAGUUCUCCACAGAAGAGCUGUUCACACCCACUGUUACAAAAUAUCUUUCUAACAGCCACCUCCCUCAGAGAUACUUGUCUUCCAAUGGACAACGCCCAGGAACACCCUCUAGCCUUGAGGGAUGAUGUGAUGUUCUUCCCCGGGUGUUUUAAUGUCACUGAAGAGAAAUCCUGACUCCACAAGAGUUCUGGAAGAAACAUUUCAGUGUCCUUCACUGCAUCAACCCCAUUGACAAAGCCUGGAAGGAUAUCAUGUACUGGACUUUAAACAGCACGAGGGAAAAGAAAAUUGUGGCCAGAAUGUGUCACUGAACAUGACUGUGAAGGGUCUGAUGCACAGAUAGUAGAGGAAGUCGUGUGCAUGGGCAAGAGUAUGAGUCUGGACCUCAGUGGUACAGACACAGAGCAGUUUUUGAGGACCAUAAAAAGGAGCUGACAGUAGAAGAACUUGCAGAACUCUUGUGAGAGCUGCAGAAGGGGCUUUCUGGUAAGCAUUCCACUGAGGAGAGGAAGACAGGGAGGAGGAUAGCAAUGAUAUGAUAAAAUCCAAUAUGAAAAGUGGAAUGAGUGCCAGGAUUUCUUUGGGAGAUACCACCCCACAUAACUUAAAUGAAUAGAGAGUUGAACUUGAUGAAUGAUAACAUGAUCUCUCAUUUCUGGAGAGUUAUGCAGUGUGGAAAAAAACAAAUGACAUUAGAUAGAUUUUUUUUGUCAAUAUAUUAAUCAUUGUUAAUUUCUUAUCAUCCUGUU